GGACAACCCGUUGAUGGGUUGCUGCCCCUGAAUUGGUAAUUUUAUGGAAAUUUUGCUGUUUUUUGUUAUUAUCUUGAAUAUUAUUAUAGAUAGAGAUAAACUGUAAACAGCAAUAAUGUUCAGCAAAGUUAGAUUUACAAAUAAGUCAACAUGACCGAAAUGGUCAGUUGACCCCUUAAGGAGUUAUUGCCCUUUAUAGUCAAUUUUUAACCAUUUUUUCGUAAAUCUUAGUGAUCUUUUACAAAAAUCUUCUCCUCUGAACUACUGGGCUAAAUUAAUCCAAACUUGGCCACAAUCAUCUUUGGGGUAUGUAGUUUAAAAAAUGUGUCCGGUGACCCGGCCAUCCAACCAAGAUGGCUGCCAUGGCUAAAUAUAGGACAUAGGGGUAAAAUGCAGUUUUUGGCUUAUAACUCAAAAAUCAAAGCAUUUAGAGCAAAUCUGACGGAGUGAAAUUGUUUAUCAUGUCAAGAUCUAUCUGCCCUGAAAUUUUCAGAUGGAUCCAACAACCGGUUGUUGGGUUGCUGCCCCAUAAUUGGUAAUUUUAAGAAAAUUUUGACGUUUUUUGUUAUUAUCUUGAAUAUUAUUAUAGAUAGAGAUAAACUGUAAACAGCAAUAAUGUACAGCAAAGUAAGACCUAAAGAUAAGUCAAACAUGACAAAAAUGGUCAGUUUGACCCCUAAGGAGUUAUUGUCCUUUAUAGUCAAUUUUUAACAAUUUUCAUAAAAUUUGUAAAUUUUUACUAACAUUUUCCACUGAAACUACUGGGCCAAGAUCAUUAUAGAUAGAGAUAAUUGUAAGGAGCAAGAAUGUUCAGUAAAGUAAGAUGUACAAACACAUCACCAUCACCUAAACACAAUUUUGUCAUGAAUCCAUCUGCUUCCUUUGUUUAAUAUUCACAUAUACCAAGGUGAGCGACACAGGCUCUUUAGAGCCUCUAGUUUGUAUUUAAAGUAAAAAAAAUU
rnacentral:lncRNA from 1 species